rnacentral:rRNA from 1 species
CGCUGAAUUUAAGCAUAUAAGUAGGUAGAGGAAUUGACACAAACUUGGCUUCCUCAAUCAGUUGCGAAUGAAAGAGAGAGAUUCUCAGCUUUAUAUUCAAAGGUCUCGGCCUUUGACCUGAAAACCCUGAUGGUGUGCCAAAGGAAGAGGGGUGGAGAGUGGGUACUGCCUUGAAAGAGGGGUGUGCAAGUGGUAACAAGGGUGACAAACCUUUGACACUUGAUGCGUCUUCCUGCAUGGCACCUUGUCUAGAAUCAUGCUCCUUGAAAGUGGAGUGCAAAGUGGGUGGUAAAUCCCACUCAAAGCCAGAUACAGCACUGGGAAAUGUGAACAGGACUUUGGAAAGAGAACUAAAGGAGCCUGAAUGUGCUGAUGUGCAAGCAUACAGGGUGGGAGUGUUUGGAGAGAUUUCCACAUGUGACCCAUGAUUGAGGAUACCCCUUGGGCAAUGGCUCUGUGGCACAAACUGGUGUGACAUGUGUGUAUCUCUCCUUGGGUGCCAGCUGAAGACAGCUGCAGUUUGUACCUUUUGUUGAGUUGGUGUCGGCAGAACAGUGUGGGGAGUGGACCUGCCUCACUGUGCGUGAAGGCAAAUCCUGCCCGGCAGCACAGCUACUGUCAACCUCCGUCUGUGUGACCCGUCUUGAAACACGGACCAAGGAGUCUAGCAACUCUGCAAGGAGUGUGAUUGCUUGUGUACUACAACUCAGUGCCAAUGAAAGUGGAGUCCCAGACCUGUGCAUGAGUGUUCCACCAAUCAGGAGGUUGAGGUUUGAGUCUGAGCACGGUUGCUAGGACCCGAAAGAUGGUGAACUAUGCCUGGCAAGGGUCAAGGCAGGGUAAACUCUGAUGGAGGCCCGCAGCGUUACUGACGUGCAAAUCGUUCGU